GGGGGCAUAGCUCAGUUGGUAGAGCGCCUGCUUUGCAAGCAGGAGGUCAUCGGUUCGACCCCGUUUGCCUCCACCA
rnacentral:tRNA from 1 species